rnacentral:sRNA from 1 species
AAUUCCCCUAUUUCCUUUCAUUUAGUGAGUUGUUUCUAAAGGUCCAACCCAAAUUAAUAAAUUAAACUGCCGCCAAAAAGUUGAAAAGCUAGUAAGUUAAUAAACAAUAACAGUAGUACAUUAUAUAGUUUAUGCUCUCUGAUUGUAUUAACACUAUUUAGGCUGUUAAUGAUAAUCAAAACCGCACCCAAAACCGUACUGCAACAGUGUUGUAACAAUAUUAAAAUCUCUACAUAUUCAUAUGUAUCUAUGUAUUUUUGUUACUAUUUGAACCGAACCGCACUUCUCCUGCAUCGCAAAAUACAAUUACCAUUCGGAGCCUUAGUUGAUAAACUGCAUGAAACUAGUAAAAUUAUGAUAUU